rnacentral:rRNA from 1 species
CACGGUUUCCGCGCCGCAGCUAACGCAUUAAGUGCCCCGCCUGGGGAGUACGGCCGCAAGGCUAAAACUCAAAGGAAUUGACGGGGGCCCGCACAAGCGGCGGAGCAUGCGGAUUAAUUCGAUGCAACGCGAAGAACCUUACCAAGGCUUGACAUGUUCUCGAUCGCCGUAGAGAUACGGUUUCCCCUUUGGGGCGGGUUCACAGGUGGUGCAUGGUUGUCGUCAGCUCGUGUCGUGAGAUGUUGGGUUAAGUCCCGCAACGAGCGCAACCCUCGUUCCAUGUUGCCAGCACGUCGUGGUGGGGACUCAUGGGAGACUGCCGGGGUCAACUCGGAGGAAGGUGAGGACGACGUCAAAUCAUCAUGCCCCUUAUGUCUUGGGCUUCACGCAUGCUACAAUGGCCGGUACAAUGGGUUGCGAUACUGUGAGGUGGAGCUAAUCCCAAAAAGCCGGUCUCAGUUCGGAUUGGGGUCUGCAACUCGACCCCAUGAAGUCGGAGUCGCUAGUAAUCGCAGAUCAGCAACGCUGCGGUGAAUACGUUCCCGGGCCUUGUACACACCGCCCGUCAAGUCACGAAAGUCGGUAACACCCGAAGCCGGUGGCCUAACCCUUGUGGGGGGAGCCGUCGAAGGUGGGACCAGCGAUUGGGACUAAGUC